CACGCAUACAAUAGCAUGAUAUAGUGGGAUGAAUCUAGGAUUUCACAAAUUCAAGAUAAGAAUAUUGGCUCUGACUCCAUCUUUUCCUGUUUGUGAAGGAAGUCUGUUCCAUCCUUUUCCUAACCUCGGUCUCAUCUGUGAGACAAGGAUUUUGAGGAAUGCUGAGAUACACAAAGCUCUCUGAACCCAGAGCUUCCCUUGCUUCUCCUAUCUCUUGAUCAGCUGAUGGGACUCAUCUGGAAGGCUAGACUUCAUUUCUCAUCAUUCCCACGGUGGAGGAAGGAGGUCACGCCACCAGACCGGGAGAAGAAGCACAUUCCAGAAAGAGCCAGUCUGUAGAGGUCUUGACUAUAUUGUGGGGUUGGGGGUGAAUAUCCCAGGAGCAUACAUAAAGGAACCAGUAAAUGGGACAGCUGGGGUCAGGAGGCAUCAAACUAUUUACUAAGCGAACUCAGAGAUGAUUCAUUUCCGCUGCAUUGGAUAAAAAGAGACAGAAAUAAGUCUCCCAGGAGGAGGAUGGGAAAGGCAACAAUGUAAGGACAAAGUUUCUCUGCAGCUUUGGAGGCGGUCCAGGAACUUGCUGUGUAGACCAGGCUGGUCUCAAACUCACAGAGAUCUGCCUGGGAUUCGACACUCUUUUCUUCAUCACACAUACAUUUCACUUAUAUUUAAAUAAAUAAAAGUAAGCCAAAUCA